rnacentral:rRNA from 1 species
CCCUUAGAUGUUCUGGGCCGCACGCGCGCUACAAUGGUCUUCGCAAACGGAUGCAUUCUCGAAGGAGAAUGCCAAUCUUGGAAUCUAUGCCUUGGUCGGGACAGUUGCUUGCAAUUUCUCGACUCGAACCAGGAAUUCCUUGUAAUCGUGAUUCAUCACAUCACGAUGAAUACGUCCCUGCCCUUUGUACACACCGCCCGUCGCUCCUACCGAUCGAAGAGUUAGGUGAAUUGUUUUGAUCGAUAAGAUUUGACUAUGGUCAACUCUCGUUGUGAAAUUCUGUGAAUCUGACUGUUUAGAGGAAGGAAAAGUCGUAACA